GGCCUUUUGAUUAUAAUUUAAGGUCUGACCUGCCCAAUGAGUUUUUAAAUGGCCGCGGUAUUUUGACCGUGCAAAGGUAGCAUAAUCAUUAGUUUUUUAAUUGAAAGCUGGAAUGAAAGGUCGAAUGAAAAAAUAGCUGUCUCUAUUUAAAUUUUUUAGAAAUUUAUUUUUAAGUUAAAAAGCUUAAAUAUAGUUAGAAGACGAGAAGACCCUAUAGAGUUUUAUUAAUUUCUAUUAUAGGCAUUUUAGUAUUAACUUUUUUAUAAUAAGGAUUAAUUUAAUUGGGGUGAUUGAAAAAUUUAAUAAACUUUUUUUAUAUCUUUACAUUUAUUUAUGAAUAUUUGAUCCUUUUAUGAAGAUUAUAAGAUAAAAUUACCUUAGGGAUAACAGCGUAAUUUUUUUAAAGAGUUCAAAUCGAAAAAAAAGAUUGCGACCUCGAUGUUGGAUUAAAAUAAAAUUUUGGUGUAGAAGCUAAAAUAUUUAGGUCUGUUCGACCUUUAAAAUUUUACAUGAUCUGAGUUUAAACCGGUGUGAGCCAGGUUGGUUUCUAUCUCUAUUAAAUUUUAAUAUCUUAGUACGAAAGGACCAGAUAUUUAAUUAAAAAUUUUAUUUAUAGAAUAAAAUU
rnacentral:rRNA from 1 species